AUUGAACGCUGGCGGCAUGCCUUACACAUGCAAGUCGAACGGCAGCACGGGGGCAACCCUGGUGGCGAGUGGCGAACGGGUGAGUAAUAUAUCGGAACGUACCCUAGAGUGGGGGAUAACGUAGCGAAAGUUACGCUAAUACCGCAUACGAUCUACGGAUGAAAGUGGGGGCUCGCAAGACCUCAUGCUCGUGGAGCGGCCGAUAUCUGAUUAGCUAGUUGGUGAGGUAAAGGCUCACCAAGGCGACGAUCAGUAGCUGGUCUGAGAGGACGACCAGCCACACUGGGACUGAGACACGGCCCAGACUCCUACGGGAGGCAGCAGUGGGGAAUUUUGGACAAUGGGGGCAACCCUGAUCCAGCAAUGCCGCGUGAGUGAAGAAGGCCUUCGGGUUGUAAAGCUCUUUUGUCAGGGAAGAAACGGUGAAGGCUAAUAUCCUUUGCUAAUGA
rnacentral:rRNA from 1 species